rnacentral:rRNA from 1 species
GAGUGCGGCGCUCUUUGAUGAGCUCAUGUCCUAUCAGCUUGUUGGUAGGGUAACGGCCUACCAAGGCUUUGACGGGUAGCUGGUCUGAGAGGACGAUCAGCCACACUGGCACUGCGACACGGGCCAGACUCCUACGGGAGGCAGCAGUAAGGAAUAUUGCGCAAUGGGCGAAAGCCUGACGCAGCGACGCCGCGUGGGGGAUGAAGGUCUUCGGAUUGUAAACCCCUUUCGGGAGGGAAGAUGGAGCGAGCAAUCGUUCGGACGGUACCUCCAGAAGCAGCCACGGCCAACUUCGUGCCAGCAGCCGCGGUAAUACGAAGGUGGCAAGCGUUGUUCGGAUUCACUGGGCGUACAGGGUGUGUAGGCGGUUUGGUAAGCCUUCUGUUAAAGCUUCGGGCCCAACCCGGAAAGCGCAGAGGGUACUGCCAGGCUAGAGGGUGGGAGAGGAGCGC